AAUGAACGUUGGCGGCAUGGAUUUGGCAUGCAAGUCGAGCGAGAAGAGUUUUGAAGCUUGCUUUAGAACUCGGACAGCGGCGAAAGGGAGAGUAACGCGUAGUUAUGUGCCCUAGGGUCCGGAAUAGCCACGGGAAACUGUGGGUAAUGCCGGAUAAUAUCCCCGGAUCAAAGGUGUGAUUCCGCCCUAGGAGCAGACUGCGUCCUACUAGCUAGUUGGUGGGGUAAUGGCCUACCAAGGCAACGAUGGGUAGCGGGUGUGAGAGCAUGACCCGUCUCACUGGGCCUGAGACACUGCCCAGACACCUACGGGUGGCUGCAGUCGAGAAUCUUCGGCAAUGGGCGAAAGCCUGACCGAGCGAUGCCGCGUGCGGGAUGAAGGCCCUCGGGUUGUAAACCGCUGUCGUAGGGGAGGAAGGUUCCGUGAAGAGCGGAAUUUGACCUAUCCUAGGAGGAAGUACGGGCUAAGUUCGUGCCAGCCGCCGCGGUAA
rnacentral:rRNA from 1 species